rnacentral:tRNA from 1 species
AGGGGAUUAGCUCAGCUGGCAGAGCACCGGUCUCCAAAACCGGGUGUCAAGUGUUCGAAUCACUUAUCCCCUGCCA